rnacentral:tRNA from 1 species
GAAGGUGUAGCUCAGUGGUAGAGUGCAUACUUAGCAUGCUCAAGGUCCUGGGUUCAAUCCCAGUACCUCUA